UUCCUGCAUCUCCAGGGAUCUUAGCAUCAUCCUAAACUUCCUCCAGUUCUAUAUAGUCUUCCUCCCUCCUCUUAAAGAAAAGUUGGGAAACUCCUGAAUAUAUGAAGCCUCAAGUCCCUUGCUAAAUCUGAGCCAAAGAUGUCCAUCAUUUAGGGUGCUGGUGUGGUGUUUUAAUCCCUUUUAAUUUGUUCCCAACAUUUAAAAUCAAAGUCCACACUUAUAGGCCUCCUGAAAAAUUGGGAGCUCCGAAACAUUGGGCCAGCAUCCAUACUAGGCAGAAAGUGGCUGGAACUCAUUAAAAGCUGACAGCUUUGGAUGAGUCACGCAUUCUUCAAAGUCCAGACCAUCAACUGGAUGAUCACCUAUUAUCAUCAUCUUGGUGAGUCUCACUUAUUUAUUUCCUUACCUGGAUUAUGCAGGCAUCUGGAUUUGUGGGGAAAUCAUCAAAAACUGACAAAUUUUAAAGGUCAGUGCUACAAGUAGUUCAUUUAGAAAAUAAUCAUAUCACUUUGAGCUGAUUGACCUUCGCUUGAAUCCAAUCCAAAUUCUACUGGUUUCAUACUCUGCCAUUUCACUGAUUACAUGCAUAUUGUACCUGCUCAUAGAGCUGACUUCUCUGCUUUGAAGCUUAGGGUCAAGUACAUUUUCAUACUGCAAGUAAAAAUGGGAAGAGAUUGGUUUUCUUUGAGAGGAAGCAUCUCCCAGUAGAGAUGUCUGAAAGGCCUUAGCCACAAGCAAAGGGUAAAAUAGAGCUGUUCUGUGUGUUUCCUUUUCAUAAACACUCACUCACAAAGCAUUUUCCUUUGUAAUAAAAUUUAUGAAAUUAUUCAUCAGAAGCAGAAAUGGCCUCAAUUAGAUAAAAGAAAUGGAGCAAUUAAUUCAUUUGUGACAAACUCACGGGUGGCCAGAAAAAUAAAAUCAUAUCUAAAAUUAGUUGAAGACAGACCCUGAGAUUGGACGCUUUCUCCAUAUUAAAAAAUGAAUGCAAUUGACACCUUUUAACAUUUGUCCUUUAUCUGCCUUGUAAAAAAAAAAAUUAAUUUCCUUAGUCAAAGCGGGAAAACAAAAGACCAGGUUACAACUACACAGAGCUUUCAGGAAAAGGAAAUUGCACUAGUUAUGGAAACAAGAAAUUCAGGGUGCAGCUGUCACUAUCAAAAUACAACAAAAGCCAGAAUAAAAUUGCCACAACAAUGCACAAUUAAAAUUAUUCCUGACUGGUUUUUCUUUUUCCUUUAAAAUUACUACUUGUGUCUGGCCAAGAGAAGCAAUCUGAAAACUGCUUUACAUAUACCCCAUAUGAUAUGGACACCAUUAAAAUACAAUAUUAUUUGGAGUUUUCUGAGGUCUUUACCAUGAAUAAUCAAAGUCCUAAACCAAAAUCACCUUCAUGGACCACACAUGAACUAGAAACCCAAAUCCCUUCUUUGUAAAAUACAUGAUUGUGAUGCACUGAAACAUUCACAAGGCAUUUUUAUGACAGAACUGUGAUUCUAACUAUAACUUGGACUGAAUAUUACAGCUGGUGCUAGCAAUUUAGUUUUUAUCAAUGACUUUUCCAAAAGAAAGGUAACAAUAGCUAUAGAGUGAUGAUUACAUGUUGACAGUUGGCAGUUCCCACCCUCGGCAGCACGUUAUAUUAAUAGGAGAGCUUCAGAAAUCCCUGGUGGACAGAAUGCACUUAACUAAUCAAAUCACAGUCUGGGAGUGGGACCCAAGCACCAGUAUUUUUUAAAGGCUAUGUGCAGCCAAGGUUGAAAAGCACACCACAGUGAUUAUCAAUUCAGGCCCCUUUCAAGAGUUUGCAAAUAAAUACCCUAUGAAAACAAUUUGUUCUAAAAGGAUGGUUAUCUCUAUCAAUAAAACUGGCCUUAUCUGCCUUAUUGUAACUGCAAUAGGCAUUUUUUGCUGGAUUCUCAUCAAAUGUUUAGUUUAUAUUUGUGAUCAUCUGGUAUAAAAAACAGCUCUUGUGGCCUAAGCAAAGCAAAGUUCACUGAGUAGGGAGCAUAGGAUCCGUGAGACAUCUGGAAGAAUUAUGCCACCUUUUAUUCUGAAGAUUCAUGAAGCUAUCUAUCCAUAAUUGGAUUUACAGUUUAAAUUUUACUAGGAUUACUUUACAUGAGGAGUGGAGAGCUUUAUUUAUACAACCAACAAAAUACACAUACAGACACACACACACACACAUAUAUAUAUACAUACAUACACACAUAUUUAUUCCAAUUUGUUUACCUAUCAUAAAAUGGUAAUUUUUUUUGUUGUGCUUUUAGGGCUGCACUUGCAGAUAUGGAAGUUCCCAGGCUAGAGGUCGAAUUGGAGGUGUAGCUGCCAGCCUAUACCACAGCCACAGUAACAUGGGAUCUGAGCCGCAUGUGAGACCUACACUACAGUUCAUGGCAAUGCUGGAUCCUUAACCCAAUGAGCGAGGCUAGGGAUUGAACCCACGUCCUCAUGGAUACUAUCAGGUUCAUUACCACUAAGCCAUGAAGGGAACUUCCAAACAGUAACAUUUUUAAGCUUAGAAAAAGUCCUAUGAUUUUCCCCUGGAGUGCACGUGUGUGUGUGAGCACAUGACAUGGCACGUACACGUGCUCCUGCACACAGGUGUGUGCUGACUGGGAUCUCCAGGUCUCAGGUUGUGAAUAUUCACAGGGUGGGAGGCAGGCCACAGUGCCAUGCCUCUAGCCCACUCCUAUACAUUCCUUUAUUCUUGGAGGGGACAGACUCUCCAGAUUUUUGAGGAUUAUGUGAGAAUCGUUAAAACACAGCCAUAUUUCUAUUUUCCCCUUCUUUUGUAAAGCUGUUAGAGAUCCCUUUAGUUGUAUUUUUAAAAUUGCUUCUACUUUGAGAGUGUUAUCCUAUUUUCAAUCCCAUUAUUUUAUCUUAUUGUCAUUUACUUUAAAGGGGGUCUUGAAGCAGUAGUAAAAAUAAGAGAGAGUGUUACAGAUAACUUCAACUUGGAGAGAAUGGCUAGUUCAUUCUUUCCCAUCCCUCCUCCUCUUGGAAAUUCUUCCAAUUCAAGUUUCUUUCUUCCUGGUUUCUUUACACAAUUUUGUUACCAUCUUUUUAAAGAUUUCUAACAAAAUAUCUAACUUUUGUUUUUACAUUUUUGGUCUAAUAAACAUAUGUAAACCUCUAUUUUAUUUUCCCUCUUAGAAUGGCUUUUUCAUUUUCUGUUAAUUUAGAUAUACUGUGUUCAGCUAGUGGAUUAUAACUAGCUGAAACUUCAAUUUUGUUUUCUCCUUUGAUUUAAGGUUGAAGCUUAACAAUAACUUUGAGGUUUAAUUUUUUAUUUGCAAUUUUUAAUUUUGUGGUUUUGUGCUGAGAUAAUAUAGACUGUACACAAUUUUUAGAUUUCUAGAAAAUAGAAGUUACUAAGAUUCUUUGUUGUAUUAUAUACCAUUUAUAAUUAAGAACUUGUUGUUACAAUUGUGUCAAUAUAGGCUACUUAUACCCUUGAGAUUUUAUUUCAAGUUAAAUAAUAAAAAAUAAUAAUAAUACUUUUUAAAGGCAUUUCUAGGACAAGCCAAUGAGCUAAUGGAUAUGGAACUGUAAGAAAUUAUCAAAUGCUAGGGUUGUCCAUUUCAAGAAAGCUGUUAUAUUUUGAUUUUCAUAAAGAUGGAAACCCUUAUAUUGUACUGUAUUUUUAAUUUAUUUAUUCAAUCAUUUAUCUUAGCUAUGUACCAGGUACUGCAUCAGGCAUAGAUGAUAUAAAUAUGAAUAAGAGACUACUCUUCUCCUCAAGAAGCCUUUAAUUUAGUGAAAAAAGAGCCAUGUGGUUAGAAAAUAGACUUGUGGUUAUCAAGGGGGGUAGGGUGGGAGUAGGAUGGAUGGGGAGUUUAGGGUUGAUAGAUGCAAAUUAUUACAUUUAGAAUGGAUAAGCGAUGAGAUUCUGCUGAAUAGCACAGGGAACUAUGUAUAAUUUCUUGCCUUAGACCAUAAUGGAAGAUAAUAUGAGAAAGAGAAUGUACAUAUACAUCUGACUGGGUCACUGUGCUGUACAGCAGAAAUUGACUCAACACUGUAAAUCAACUAUAUCCUAAUAGAAAAUAAAUUUAAUUAAUAAAAAAGAGACAUGCGAGGAGUAUGGAAAGUGUUAUAAAAGAUCAUAUAUGUAGAUGAGCUUAAGCAAUUUAUUAAACAUUCUCUCUGCCUCAGUCUCUUCAUUUCUAGAAAUAGGAUAACGAUUUAUUUCUGGUAUAGUGGUGUGUAAAUCAAGAUGCGGAGCCAAGGGGUGAGAACAGGUACAACUUUCAAACCAAGUCAAUCAGAUAUCAUUCUAAGGUUUUGGAUUCUGAGCAAUAAGAGAGAGAUAGAUAAACUGUAACAAAGCUUAGAGCCCAUUUAUUCCAGUGGCCACGUCAUCCUUGAGAAAACUCUUGAUUGUGAUGUUACCUACGCUAGUCACUCUCCCCUGGCUCUGAUCCUUCUCUGAAUCUGGCUCUCUGAAAUCUCCAUCAUUUCUGGAAACUCCUGCUAACUAUUUCAAUAAAUUCCUUUUCUGCUUCAAUGAUCCAGAAUUAGCUUCUGCUAACAGUAUCCUCAGAAUCCUAACAAUCAUGACAUUUUUUAAAAUGAGGUUUUAUUUCCACAAGGAAAACAACUGUGAAAGAGGAAUCCCAAGAUUAGAAGUGAAAUCCCAGAGGAUAAGUUACUGGGUAAGUUGUUCACCUUGCGAAGCCCCUGUUUGCUUCUCUGUGAAAGUGGGAUGGGACCACAAUACUGUCGCUGAUGUGGGAACCCUCUGAACCAUCCAUCAGGAUUCGGUGGGUGCUCUCCCCGCAUUCCACAACUUCAGUUCCCUAUAUGGCUCCAGGCUCAAAUCAUUCACAAAAGUCACUUUCAACAUAAGUCAGAUAAAGCGGAUUUCCAGAACAUUUGAAUCAUGGCUCAAAUGCAGCUUUAUCCGUGAUAUUACAGGCCGGGGAUGAACACCACUGUAUCUCCAUUAGCAAUGCUCACAAUGUUGAACCAUGUUUCCUAACUUACUCCUCUGUCAUUUCUGUCUUAUCUCCUGCAUUGGACCAUAGAUUAUACUGAGGUACCAUUCCCCUUGGUUGAUCUCUCAUUUCCAAGAUCUGGGUCAGUGUCAAUGAUCAAUUUUUGCUCAGCAAACAUCACAUGGAUAUUUUCCAAAAGGGUUACUCCUACCUCUGCCUACUCCACAGAUGCCAAGUGAGAG
rnacentral:lncRNA from 1 species